CCAUUGUUACCUUUUGUUGUGAUUAUCAUCUCCAAUUAACAAGAUUGAAAAUUACAGACGCAACAUACACAUUUUAAAAACUAAGAACAGACUUAGCUUGCAUAUUAGUAAAAGUAUGAAAUCACACAAACCUAGAUAUUUCUAAAAUACGAAAUUUACGAAUUGUUUGGCCUUGCAUUAAUAAUUGGCCUUUUAAUGCUACUAAACAACAUCUAUGUCUUCUAAAUCAGUCCAUGAAUUUACUCCAGAUUGGGUGCUUCUUCCAGACAUUUUCAACCAUGAGAUCAAUCGGAACAUUCUUGGUCUCGGGCAACAGUUUCACUACGAACAAUCCCAUGAUAAGUAUCCAAGCGGCGAAGAAGAAAAAUAUACCGGCUCUCAUGUGGCACAGCAUUGAUAAGAAAGCCUGAGCUAUGAGGAAAGUGAAGAGCAUGUUUGAGCUAACUGCAAAAGCAAACCCAGCAGUUCUGGUCUCUAGAGGGAAUGUUUCACUUGGUAUCAACCAACCCAGAGGACCCCAUGACCACGCAAAGGACAUAACAAAUAAGCACACCAGACACACAACAAUAAUUGCCAGUGGUUUUGAAAGCGAUCCCGUAGCUGACAAUUUCAGAAUUAAAAUAAUUCCAAUAGCAACCUGCAACACGGCAACUUCUAAGAUUCAGUGAAGCAGCUAAAAGUAAUGACAUGUAAUUAAAAAGAAAGUCCAAGAAAAGAGAUUUAUACAUACCUGGCUAAUGAACAUCUGGACACAGGCUUGAAGCAACAGUUUCCUCCUCCCAAUCUUAUCCACAGCAUAAAUUGAGACCAAUGUACUAAUCACAUUCACUAAUCCAGUGAUCACAGAAGAUAGAAGAGAAGCAUCGUUCCUGAAUCCCACUGUUUGGAACAAAACAGGUGCGUAAAACAUUAUAGCAUUGAUUCCUGUAAACUGCUGAAACACUUGCAUCAACACUGCUAUAACUAGCGGGGGAAUACUGGAGCGUUUCAUGAUGUUCUUCAAUGGAUGCUUGACUUCCUUGGCGAUCUCACAGGCAGAUUGAAUUUGUUUGAACUCAGCGUCAACAUUGUCUACUCCUCUAAUCUUCUUAAGUGCCUUUAAUCCUUUGUUUUCUUUUCCAUGCUCAAUUAGGCUCGUUGGAGUCUCGGGAAUGAUUAAGGAACCUAUAAAUAGGAACAAGGCUGGUGCCCCUGCGAGCCCCAAGGAAAUUCUCCAUCCAUUUGGGUGAGACCUUGAAGUGCCAUAGUUAACAAGAUUUGCAAUCAAGAUUCCAAUGGUCACAAAAAGCUGAAACAGAAUGUUCACAGCCCCGCGAUGCUUAACUGGUGCUAUCUCUGACAGGAAAAGAGGAACAGCCUGCAAAAUUUUUCCAGGAAUUAUUGAAUUAGAGGUACUUAACCAGUAUAUUUUUAUUCAAUAACCAUACAGCAUGUAUGUUACCUCAUUGCCAAAUCCUACACCAAACCCAAGGAGAACUCGGCCAAUAAUGAGCAUCCAGAGGUAUUGAGCACCAGAGCUUAGGCCAGCCCCUGCCAGGAAAAAUAAUGAUGCAAGAAAAAUUGUGGGCCUUCGACCAAAUUUUGCGCACACAGCGGAUGCAACAAAACUUGAUAAAAGAGCAGCUAUGUAAAGUGAUGAUGUGAAUAGCUGAAGAAAUUGAUUGUCAUAUUUGCAGUAAUUGUCUUCAACAGCACGAAGUUUUCUUUCAUAGACAGAAUGAAAGAAUUUUUUCAAAAAAUCAUCCAUAGCUGUCACUCCACCUGAAAUUCCAAUAUCAUAACCGAACAUUAAGCCACCAAAGGCCGCAAGAAUCCAACAGAAAACCACAUAAACAGUGAUUUUCCAUGGGUAAUCCACCUUGGAAACAACACCUCUCUCUGCAUCUGCCAUCUUUUCCUUUCUUUUUUU
rnacentral:misc_RNA from 1 species